rnacentral:RNase_P_RNA from 17 species
AGAGUUAGCGCGGCAGUUGCAGGGUUGACAUUGAGAUCAGCUCUGAGGAAAGUCCGGGCUCCCCAAAGACCAAACUUGCUGGGUAACGCCCAGUGCGCGUGAGCGUGAGGAUAGUGCCACAGAAACAUACCGCCGAAGCUUAGCAUUAGGUUCGCCUAAUCUAUCUGGUAAGGGUGCAAAGGUGCGGUAAGAGCGCACCAGCAGUAUCGUGAGGUGCUGGCUCGGUAAACCCCGGUUGGGAGCAAGGACGGUGGGAUGAUGGUUGGUCUUUUUCCGAUCCCAUAAUUUGGAGUGCCGCUGGAGGUGGCUGGUAACAGUCAUCCUAGAUAGAUAACUGCCCUUUUGCGCUGCAAGAGAACAGAACCCGGCUUAUGUCUAACUCUCCUG